ACAUGGGGGACCCUGGGCAAAGCGUUAGUGCUUGACAGACAUUGGGUCCUCCGGUCCCCCUCCAGUGCGAUGAGCUAACAGUUGUAUCCCCAACACACAGAUGACAAAACUGGGAGGCAGCAUGGUUCAGGAGCUUGUGCAAGUUCACACAGGGCGUGAUUGACGGGGCUGGGAUUCAGAUGCAGACCAGGGAACCAGGCUGACCAGAAGACCUACGAGGAGAAAUAGAAAGCUUGGGAGGUUGAAGUGGAAAGCCAAGUGUCCAUUUCUCUGCCUGCAGAAUGAGUCCCCAGGGAGCCCAG
rnacentral:lncRNA from 1 species